GAUGAACGCUGGCGGCGUGCCUAAUACAUGCAAGUCGAACGAAACUUCUUUAUCACCGAGUGCUUGCACUCACCGAUAAAGAGUUGAGUGGCGAACGGGUGAGUAACACGUGGGCAACCUGCCCAAAAGAGGGGGAUAACACUUGGAAACAGGUGCUAAUACCGCAUAACCAUAGUUACCGCAUGGUAACUAUGUAAAAGGUGGCUAUACUACCGCUUUUGGAUGGGCCCGCGGCGCAUUAGCUAGUUGGUAGGGUAAAGGCUUACCAAGGCAAUGAUGCGUAGCCGAAUUGAGAGGUUGAUCGGCCACAUUGGGACUGAGACACGGCCCACACUCCUACGGGAGGCAGCAGUAGGGAAUCUUCCACAAUGGGCGAAAGCCUGAUGGAGCAACGCCGCGUGGGUGAAGAAGGUCUUCGGAUCGUAAAACCCUGUUGUUAGAGAAGAAAGUGCGUGAGAGUAACUGUUCACGUUUCGACGGUAUCUAACCAGAAAGCCACGGCUAACUACGUG
rnacentral:rRNA from 1 species